rnacentral:ncRNA from 1 species
ACUAUUUGAGGUGGUAAAUUUCGUAGCGACCACACGCCGAUGGUACGACAGGGGCAACCCGAGAGAUGCAGGAGGAUGCUACGCCUGCCAAAUGGU